UACAGAGGGGGCAAGCGUUGUUCGGAAUUACUGGGCGUAAAGGGCGCGUAGGCGGGCUCGCCAGUCAGGGGUGAAAGCCUCCAGCUCAACUGGAGAAGUGCCUUUGAUACUGCGAGCCUCGAGGGAGGUAGGGGCGUGCGGAACUUCCGGUGGAGCGGUGAAAUGCGUAGAUAUCGGAAGGAACACCGGUGGCGAAAGCGGCGCGCUGGACCUCUUCUGACGCUGAGGCGCGAAAGCCAGGGGAGCAAACGGG
rnacentral:rRNA from 1 species